rnacentral:rRNA from 1 species
UGGGGAAUAUUGCUCAAUGGGCGAAAGCCUGAAGCAGCAACGCCGCGUGGGGGAUGAAGGUUUUCGGAUUGUAAACCCCUUUCGACCGGAACGAAUCCCCUCCUGGUAAAUAAUCAGGAGGAUCGACGGUACCGGGAGAAGAAGCCACGGCUAACUCUGUGCCAGCAGCCGCGGUAAGACAGAGGUGGCGAGCGUUGUUCGGAUUUACUGGGCGUAAAGCGCACGCAGGCGGUUUGGUAAGUCAGGGGUGAAAGCCCACAGCUUAACUGUGGAACUGCCUCUGAUACUGCCUUUCUAGAGUGCAUGAGGGGGAAGCGGAAUUCCGAGUGUAGAGGUGAAAUUCGUAGAUAUUCGGAGGAACACCGGUGGCGAAGGCGGCUUCCUGGCAUGUAACUGACGCUCAUGUGCGAAAGCGUGGGGAGCAAACAGG